UUGGUGGGAGAAGCCGAUUGAAACGAUGACUAAUUUGGAGGAGUUAGAAGAGUACAUGGAAGCCUUGCACAAGUUGAAACACAAUGCGGAGGUUCGAACCAAUGAGAUGAUUAGGAAUAUCUAGACCAGCCUGACCGGGUGCAUCUUCUCCUUGAUGACUAUGAAUCAUAGACUACUUGCUAAGAUUGAACAAAUCUCUUAUUAGUAUGUAAAUUUUCGGAUUUCUUCAGAUACGACUCCUAUCAACUGGCCUGUUUUUGUUUUUGGGUUAGCAAAAGCCAAUAUAUUCGGAUAAUAUUAUGAAAACUUUUCAUACUUUAAUCUAAUGAUUACCAACAGUGUCAAUAACAUCCAAGAUAUUUACAGGCCAAGUGCCCGCCCAUGUCUUUUAAUCCUCUAGCCAUUCAUAUCAUGUGUCAAUCAGUAAGCAAUAAUCCUGAUAAAAAAAUCGAUGUACGCCAUGGUUGAAGAACUGCAUCAAGAAAAGCACUGCGCAAGAGCAAGAAUGA
rnacentral:lncRNA from 1 species